CUAGCUUUUUCAGCUUUUAACCUUUCGAUUUGUCUCACCCUGUCAGCCAACUGUGACAUGUCUCGAAGGUAUUGGGUAUCCAAUUUCUUUCGAAUAGAAUAAUCUAACCCACCAGCAGCCAUUUCCACUAGCUCGUGUUCAGGCACUUGAGUAAAGCACCUGGACUUCAGCAAACGAAACCUAUUUAAAUAGUCAUCAAUUGACUCUUGGUUUUUCCUUUUUACACUGGCUAACUCUUUCAG
rnacentral:lncRNA from 1 species